ACACUAUCUUCAACUGUACGUUCUAUACAAGUUUGGCUUUAUUUUCACAUGCAUGAAUUAGUCAAAUCACCAUUAUUUCAUGAUUGGCAGUAUCGUCUGUUGUUCGUAAUUUUUACCUUUGGAAAUAUGUUACAUUAACUCAAAUUUUCUUUUUCACUCUUCAUCAAACAAAAAUAUAAAUUAUUUUAGAAAAAAGAAUCUUUUCCAAUACUUUGCAAUGAUAUAAUUUGGCAUUCACCAAUGUCAUGGUUUGUCAAACUUUGUGUGAGCUUUUAACUUUGCGAGUUUUCAAUCAGAUUGAACUUGAUAGCAAACAUAGAGGAAACUUUUCAUUUAAGUGUGUUAAGGAAGUAAAUCGGUGACGUUUGUUAAAACGAGCUCAACAUUAUUUGUUUUAGAAAUCAUCAGUCAUGAUGAUGAAAAUAAUAUUGGUCUUAUUAUUCUAUGUUGCUAUCAUAUAUUCAAAAGUAUGUACAAGGUAAGAUUGUAUGAUUGUCCACACUGCAUAUAUAUAUUUGAUAUUUUGUUUGAUAUGCUAGACAUAAUUUACAGAAAUCGAAAUUCUGAUGUUUCGAAAAAUCUCUAAUCAUGUUGAACAGAUUUUCUCCUGUGUAUGGUACUAUUUAUCUACAUAAUUCUAAUGAAUAUAAAUAUGCUUUACAGUCCAAAUGGAGUCGUAAAUUGCUGUCAAGGGUACAUGUGGGAUAAAAUAGAAAACAGAUGUACCAGUAUUCAACAAGGUUUUAAUCUUUCAACUUUAUGGUGGACAAUUUACAGUGGCUAUUCGUCAACUUCUGUUGUUCAUACCGAAAGAUCAAAUGUUACAGAAAGUACAGACCGGACAAACAUCAUCACAAGCAAACGUAAUGCAAAGAAAAAGCAUAAUACCUCAACAUAUUUCAAGUUUAUAUUCAGUAUUCUUGUUGUUGCAGCAGUAUUAAUUGUCAUAUUCAUAGUAGUGAUUAUUCGUUACGCAUAGCAAUACAAAUCGAAGAUUUGUGAAGAUGAUUUCAUGUUAUAUUUAUUUUUGUUCUUUACUUUGUUUUAAAAUAGUUUUACAUCUUUAUCUAUGAUUGACUAAGUCAUUUGUAUGCAAGUAUUGAUCAAACCUGAGAACAUUGCUACAACAAAAAAUCGAAUACCAUUUUAUAGGAAAAUUCAUUGAGGCAACAAUUCGUUAUACUUGAAAUCUAUUUGUAUUAAAUAGUUAAAGUUUCCUAUCUACUUGUGUUUUCCCCACCUUUAUGAUGAUAAAUGAGUGUAUACGCUAAUUUUGGUUUGAUAUGAACAUGUGUUCUCAUUUUUUUUAGUUAAGUUGAUGUUUUAACAAGGUUCUUGUUAAUUUGAUCAGUGUUUAUUGUUUUGAGUGUUCCUAUACUGUUUUGUACUGAUUCCCACAGUCGUACGUGUUACUCUUGUAAACCACUGGAUUGGGCAUUUUUUAAAAUUAAU